UACAGGGUGACAGCCCCGUACACAAAAAUGCACAUGCUGUGAGCUCGAUGAGUAGGGCGGGACACGUGGUAUCCUGUCUGAAUAUGGGGGGACCAUCCUCCAAGGCUAAAUACUCCUGACUGACCGAUAGUGAACCAGUACCGUGAGGGAAAGGCGAAAAGAACCCCGGCGAGGGGAGUGAAAAAGAACCUGAAACCGUGUACGUACAAGCAGUGGGAGCCUCUUUAUGGGGUGACUGCGUACCUUUUGUAUAAUGGGUCAGCGACUUAUAUUCUGUAGCAAGGUUAACCGAAUAGGGGAGCCGAAGGGAAACCGAGUCUUAACUGGGCGUUAAGUUGCAGGGUAUAGACCCGAAACCCGGUGAUCUAGCCAUGGGCAGGUUGAAGGUUGGGUAACACUAACUGGAGGACCGAACCGACUAAUGUUGAAAAAUUAGCGGAUGACUUGUGGCUGGGGGUGAAAGGCCAAUCAAACCGGGAGAUAGCUGGUUCUCCCCGAAAGCUAUUUAGGUAGCGCCUCGUGAACUCAUCUCCGGGGGUAGAGCACUGUUUCGGCAAGGGGGUCAUCCCGACUUACCAACCCGAUGCAAACUGCGAAUACCGGAGAAUGUUAUCACGGGAGACACACGGCGGGUGCUAACGUCCGUCGUGAAGAGGGAAACAACCCAGACCGCCAGCUAAGGUCCCAAAGUCAUGGUUAAGUGGGAAACGAUGUGGGAAGGCCCAGACAGCCAGGAUGUUGGCUUAGAAGCAGCCAUCAUUUAAAGAAAGCGUAAUAGCUCACUGGUCGAGUCGGCCUGCGCGGAAGAUGUAACGGGGCUAAACCAUGCACCGAAGCUGCGGCAGCGACGCUUAUGCGUUGUUGGGUAGGGGAGCGUUCUGUAAGCCUGCGAAGGUGUACUGUGAGGUAUGCUGGAGGUAUCAGAAGUGCGAAUGCUGACAUAAGUAACGAUAAAGCGGGUGAAAAGCCCGCUCGCCGGAAGACCAAGGGUUCCUGUCCAACGUUAAUCGGGGCAGGGUGAGUCGACCCCUAAGGCGAGGCCGAAAGGCGUAGUCGAUGGGAAACAGGUUAAUAUUCCUGUACUUGGUGUUACUGCGAAGGGGGGGACGGAGAAGGCUAUGUUGGCCGGGCGACGGUUGUCCCGGUUUAAGCGUGUAGGCUGGUUUUCCAGGCAAAUCCGGAAAAUCAAGGCUGAGGCGUGAUGACGAGGCACUACGGUGCUGAAGCAACAAAUGCCCUGCUUCCAGGAAAAGCCUCUAAGCAUCAGGUAACAUCAAAUCGUACCCCAAACCGACACAGGUGGUCAGGUAGAGAAUACCAAGGCGCUUGAGAGAACUCGGGUGAAGGAACUAGGCAAAAUGGUGCCGUAACUUCGGGAGAAGGCACGCUGAUAUGUAGGUGAAGUCCCUUGCGGAUGGAGCUGAAAUCAGUCGAAGAUACCAGCUGGCUGCAACUGUUUAUUAAAAACACAGCACUGUGCAAACACGAAAGUGGACGUAUACGGUGUGACGCCUGCCCGGUGCCGGAAGGUUAAUUGAUGGGGUUAGCGGUAACGCGAAGCUCUUGAUCGAAGCCCCGGUAAACGGUGGCCGUAACUAUAACGGUCCUAAGGUAGCGAAAUUCCUUGUCGGGUAAGUUCCGACCUGCACGAAUGGCGUAAUGAUGGCCAGGCUGUCUCCACCCGAGACUCAGUGAAAUUGAACUCGCUGUGAAGAUGCAGUGUACCCGCGGCAAGACGGAAAGACCCCGUGAACCUUUACUAUAGCUUGACACUGAACAUUGAGCCUUGAUGUGUAGGAUAGGUGGGAGGCUUUGAAGUGUGGACGCCAGUCUGCAUGGAGCCGACCUUGAAAUACCACCCUUUAAUGUUUGAUGUUCUAACGUUGGCCCCUGAUCGGGGUUGCGGACAGUGUCUGGUGGGUAGUUUGACUGGGGCGGUCUCCUCCUAAAGAGUAACGGAGGAGCACGAAGGUUGGCUAAUCCUGGUCGGACAUCAGGAGGUUAGUGCAAUGGCAUAAGCCAGCUUGACUGCGAGCGUGACGGCGCGAGCAGGUGCGAAAGCAGGUCAUAGUGAUCCGGUGGUUCUGAAUGGAAGGGCCAUCGCUCAACGGAUAAAAGGUACUCCGGGGAUAACAGGCUGAUACCGCCCAAGAGUUCAUAUCGACGGCGGUGUUUGGCACCUCGAUGUCGGCUCAUCACAUCCUGGGGCUGAAGUAGGUCCCAAGGGUAUGGCUGUUCGCCAUUUAAAGUGGUACGCGAGCUGGGUUUAGAACGUCGUGAGACAGUUCGGUCCCUAUCUGCCGUGGGCGCUGGAGAACUGAGGGGGGCUGCUCCUAGUACGAGAGGACCGGAGUGGACGCAUCACUGGUGUUCGGGUUGUCAUGCCAAUGGCACUGCCCGGUAGCUAAAUGCGGAAGAGAUAAGUGCUGAAAGCAUCUAAGCACGAAACUUGCCCCGAGAUGAGUUCUCCCUGACUCCCUGAGAGUCCUGAAGGAACGUUGAAGACGACGACGUUGAUAGGCCGGGUGUGUAAGCGCAGCGAUGCGUUGAGCUAACCGGUACUAAUGAACCGUGAGGCUUAACCUU
rnacentral:rRNA from 1 species